rnacentral:lncRNA from 1 species
CAUGUCUAUGACCUACGCCAUGACUCACGGCAACACCCCAUCCUUAACCCACAGAGCGAGGCCAGGGAUCAAACCUGCAACCUCAUGGUUCCUAGUCAGAUUUGUUUCCACUGUGCCACAAUGGAAACUCCCAACCAUAAAAUUUAAAUAAACAAAUUAAUUUAAAGUCUUCCUGUACUGUGAAAAUGAUGGGUGUCAGUAACCUAUAUUCUCUAAGCUUAGAAACAUCAGAAGAAAGACAAUUUAAAAAAAAAGAAAAAAGAUAGAGCCAAAUAUCCAACUGCCAAGAACUGUCAAGUAAAAAGGCAAACAUUGUACGUAGUAUGCUAUUGUUCGAGGUUUUUUAAAAGAGCAAAGAGCUAUCUAUGUACAUGUCAUCUUGCAUCCGCAGACUGACUUUGGCAGAAACUAUGACAAUGCUGCCUCUGGAGAGGGGGCUGGGAGGCUGGGGACAGGAAUGAGAGCGCGAGGUGUUUUAAAUCACUGCAUAUCCCCUUUUUACCUUUUGAAUUUUACAUAAUGUACAUGUUUUGCCUGUUUUAUAUUUGUAAAAUUAGAUUGACUAACUUGGGGGGAGGGGAAAGCAAUACAACAUUUAAAAACUAUGGAAACAUACCCCUUUCAGUGUGAAGCCACCACAGGUUUCUGAGCUGAUCUGUGACUUGGCUCUUUCCAAAAGCUGGGGUUGUGGCUUGUUCUCAUUGGAUGCUGAUUGGGGGUGGGGGCACAUUGGGAGUCAAUUUUGAGAGCUCUUCAAAGGAGAAAACCCACAAGAGUUAUUGGAGAAAUGAGACAAACUUUAAGUGAAAUCUUUGGAGUGGGGUGGAAGACGUGGCUAAGGAGUACAGCUGUGGGGGCUGGUUGUUUUCAGGAGGAAAAGCCUCGGACAAGUGAAAUGGCAGAGACUGGCUAUUGUGCCUUUGGAGGGGAUUACUUUGAAUGGUCUGGAAAAGCUGAGAGGACACCAGGUCUGAUCCCUGUCCCCAGCCUACACUGUGAUGUCAUGGUUGGUAUAUUCUUAGUUAUCUCUUUCUUCCCUGGGACUCAUAGCCUACUUUUGCUCCCUUUUAAGUUAAAAACUAAACCUUAAUUAUACAGAGAGAAUCACUAGAUGGGACAUGAUUCGCC